GACGAACGCUGGCGGCGUGCUUAACACAUGCAAGUCGAACGGAAAGGCCCUGCUUGCAGGGUACUCGAGUGGCGAACGGGUGAGUAACACGUGGGUGAUCUGCCCUGCACUUCAGGAUAAGCCUGGGAAACUGGGUCUAAUACCGGAUAGGAGCCAUUUUUAGUGUGAUGGUUGGAAAGUUUUUUCGGUGUAGGAUGAGCUCGCGGCCUAUCAGCUUGUUGGUGGGGUAAUGGCCUACCAAGGCGGCGACGGGUAGCCGGCCUGAGAGGGUGGACGGCCACAUUGGGACUGAGAUACGGCCCAGACUCCUACGGGAGGCAGCAGUGGGGAAUAUUGCACAAUGGGCGCAAGCCUGAUGCAGCGACGCCGCGUGGGGGAUGACGGCCUUCGGGUUGUAAACUCCUUUCGCUAGGGACGAAGCUUUUUGUGACGGUACCUAGAGAAGAAGCACCGGCUAACUACGUG
rnacentral:rRNA from 1 species